AGUUUGUGGGAUAAAGAUCUGGCCCCCAUGUGACUUUCACAGACUCCUUCAUGUACCUCCCACAAGGCAAAGUCGGCUUCAAAAGAAUGAAGACAUUUCAGGAGGGGCAAAGAGUAUGACCUCUUGUACAGCUUGCCCUCAUAAAGGAUAUAUCAGGAGGCCUGAUUUCUAAGCUUCCGAGCUUCUUUUGCAUCAUGAGG
rnacentral:lncRNA from 1 species